rnacentral:lncRNA from 1 species
CUCCUGAAACUAUUUAAUUUCUCUCGCAAAAAAUUUAUGUUUACCUUUCUGUCUUGACAGGCAGACGGGAAGAUGACUUAUUAUACAAACACAUUGAGCAACGAGUCCUUGGGGUUAAUCAACCAAUUAAUCAUCUCGCAGCCAGCGACAACAGUGACACAACUUCGGGAACGGCACAAGGGAAGAACAACGACUUCUGAUUGGCUGUCACAAAUGAUGCAUUGUUGGUAUACCGGCUUAGGGGACCAGAGAGACACUUGUUUUCUUCGGCCUUUGAUGCCAUGGACAUUGCCUCUUCUCCUGCCUCUAGGCUGACCAUGACAAACUGUUCUGUUUUUAUGUGCAUCCAUUUCACAGGGGAAUACAUGGAUUUACCUACUAUUUUAUGUUCUCUGCGAGCCCUACUGCGCCGCUGCCACAGCAAACUCUGGCCCCUCAGGUUACCCACAAUGCUCUGAGGCAUCUUAAAGGGGAAGGAUCAGGCUCUGAUCAGAUGCCAUGAGGUCAGUGGCAUGUCACAGUGAAAAUAUCCCCC